AGUGCAGCACAUAGCAUUUUUCUCUGAAGAUAGAGCAAUCUAACAUUGUUGGACUGAAAAGCAAAAGGAAGUCAAAGGAAAGAAACUUAGGAGUCAUUGGCUGGAUUUAAGUGAUAGACACUAGACCCUGCUGGUAUCUAUACUGUACCUACCAUCAUGACAUAGCGCCUCAAUCAUUGAAGUGUACUAUUGCACCAUGGACGCUAAGCUGGACAGUUACUGCAAAAUAAAAAUAGACUGGCCCAACGACAGUGAAUGAGCGUUAACUAUCGAGUAAGUGUCUACAUUCUGUAAGGAAGUGCUGAUUUCUUUGUAAGACGAAGUUUCUUCAACAGAGUCAUUCCGCUCCCUUUCUCUUCCAACCCAAUGCCCUGUUUACUUCAAUACAUCCCUUCGAAGUUCAAGUGUACAUGUGAUUAUACUGAAUUGAUUGACACUAACAAUGAAAAUGUCUAAUUUACCCCUAGUUUGGCUUUAAUUAUUCCAAAACCACAAUAUGUAUACAAAUGAACAAGCCAUAUACAAUCCAUACAAGGAUUACCAACCCUCCCAAAAAAAACGUAUAGUUUAAAAUGUACCCUGGUUGCAUGAACACAUGAAUCAUAGACUUACAGCAGG